rnacentral:lncRNA from 1 species
UCCGUCUUGAAAAGGAUUCGACCUCAAAUCUGUACCUUGAAAAAUCAAAAGAAGACAAACAAGCACACAUCCUCAUAACACGAGGGUUAGGGUUAGCAAAAAUAAACACAUUAUUACGCCAUGCCCAGGGGGAACAAUUUGAAGUAUAUCCACGGGUCCUUUGUAUUAAACAUAAAAAUAUUAGUACAAACGUGAAAAAGGAAGUGGCUCGGAUAAAUACCAAAACAAAAUGAAAAUAGGCCGAGAGUUAUCCUUUCCACCCUAAGAUGGUACCGGGAUCAAAUGGAAGAAUUAACCAAGGGCCUAAGCCGAGGCUAGCCCUUCCUUCCCCUAGAAUACCACUCCCACAUUCACACACAAAAAUAUUUUCAUACACAUGAUCUCUAUGAACAAAAAUAAUCGCAAUGCUUUUACCACACAAGAUGUUCAAAGAGUCAUGCGCAUUAUCAAGAUCAAUUCUAUAGACACCAUCACUAACUUGCAAAUUUUUAAGCACUUCAUUCACAUGCCCAAGUAGUGAACUACAUUUAAGAGUAAAUUGAUCAUCA